rnacentral:rRNA from 1 species
CAAUGGGGAAUUUUCCGCAAUGGGCGAAAGCCUGACGGAGCAACGCCGCGUGAGGGAUGAAGGCCUCUGGGCUGUAAACCUCUUUUAUCAAGGAAGAAGAUCUGACGGUACUUGAUGAAUAAGCCACGGCUAAUUCCGUGCCAGCAGCCGCGGUAAUACGGGAGUGGCAAGCGUUAUCCGGAAUUAUUGGGCGUAAGCGUCCGCAGGCGGCCCUUCAAGUCUGCUGUUAAAAAGUGGAGCUUAACUCCAUCAUGGCAGUGGAAACUGUUGGGCUUGAGUGUGGUAGGGGCAGAGGGAAUUCCCGGUGUAGCGGUGAAAUGCGUAGAUAUCGGGAAGAACACCAGUGGCGAAGGCGCUCUGCUGGGCCAUCACUGACGCUCAUGGACGAAGGCCAGGGGAGCGAAUGGGAUUAGAUACCCCUGUAGUCAAUCUCUA